UGGUUAGUGGUUAACAUCGGGUUUAUUAUGAAAAAAAUGGCUAAGGCUCAACGAGGUUCACGAAGGGAAAACAUAUAGAUAGAGAUGGCUAAAAAGGCCCUGGCUAAACAAACAACUUGCCUUAGUGUGUGUUGUCAUGCUGUGAAGUGUCAAAAUGACAUACGCAAAAUUAGAGUGGUAGAGUCAUACCUGGCUGAACUCUCAUGCUGAUGUUUAGUGUCUGUCUUUUUGUAUUCUCACCAUGUUGGUUAGCCUUACAAGCUCUGAAGUCUCCUCGUGUUAUGUGAUUUUUUUUUUGAUUCGGUUUUACCAUACCGCUUUCUUGGUCUGGUGUCACCAAAUUGUGUCCGACUUUACUUUCUCGUGGUUGGAUCAACUUCCGGGGUGCCUUAUCAGAAUAAGUAUGAGGAGUGUCUUUCAUCCACUACCAUUGAUCCCGGAUUCGUCUAACCAUUUCUCAUCACACUGUACACACAAGUAAACCACACACACAAAAAAAACAAAUAAAAUACUACGACGAUAACAAAAACAAAAGCUCAAGAACAAAAACAAAUUGAAAGCAAAUUAAAACAUGAAAGGAAAAACCCCCCCACACUUGAAUUAAACAUUGACCUCAAUGUUUAAAUUCAAAUACAAAGGGGACUUACAGUGAUUACUGUUGUGGAGGAGGCGGAGGAUUAUGCGGGAAAUGCAACAUCAGACGUUGCAUCAUGGCUUGCAUGUCAUCCAUGAAUGUCCCUUGUCGGAACAAUUCCACACCUUGUCUGGUUUGCUCGGUGCGGAGGGUUCCCAUCUCAGUUUGGAUCCAACCCCACUAGUCCUGAGACAUAAAGGAGGGUUCCCAACAAAAUUCAAAAAUAUUCAAAGAAAAUGCCAAGUGGGUCCCAUCAUUUGGUGCUUUUAAUGGUGGGACCCACUUGGCAUUAUAUCUCUUCUCCACCACUUAUUCUGAUUGUGCAAGCUUCUCACUCCCCCUUCCUCCAUUGUUAACCUAGUCUCCAUCACUUAAAGCUCCACUUUUCACCAAGCUCCAUUCAUUAAAACCCCAUCCCCCCUUCACGAAAACCGUUCCUCUCUCUGUCCUCUACCCAAUGACGGUGGCCGUUUUCACUAAUCUGUUAUUUGGAGGUACCCAUUAUGCCCCCAAAGCGUAUAAGCAAAGGAAAGGAUGUGACCACAUCUUCCCGGCUGAAGCAACGUGCUAGACGCACUCCGAAUCCUCAUGGCAUUUUGUUUGAACGACCGGAUCACCAAGAUAGGUAUGUGAUUCUUGCUCAACGUAAGCUCAUUCCUAUACGCUAUAUGUGUGAUGCUACACUUGAUGAGUUAGGCUUAAAGGAAGAGGUGCAUCGCAUGUUUCACAACAUCGGUAUGUUAGAAUUCAUGCAAUUCGAAGCACCGACCUUCGCACGUAUCACACUUGAAUUCUUAAGUACGGUUGAGUUUAAGAUGAGACGAAGGUGGACCGGUUCAGAGAUGGAAUUUUAUGGCCAGAUGACUUUCCGAUUGUUCGAUGAGGAUCACGAGUUAUCUGUUGAGGAACUUGGGGGUGUUCUGAGACUCCCGGUAUCUGGACCCGGAACCCCCCCAGACACUUUUUCAGCAAUUGAUUUCUGGAGGGCUAUUAUAGGUAAAAGUGGCUACAACCCAAGUUCGGGAAAAGCUUUUGGGAUUCAUAACCCGUGUUUCAGAUAUGCACAAAAGGGGUUAGCCUACACCUUGUUCGGACGGGGUGAUAGCACUGGGGUAGCCGCAAAGAGAGAGUUAUUUUUCCUUCACUGCAUGGCCAAUAAUGAGUGAGUCAAUGCAGCUGCUUUUGCGGCCAAUCAUUUGAAGCAAGUUGGCCACGCAAGUACCGGUGAUAUUUCUGUGGGUGGUAUGAUCACGCAGAUUGCGUACCACUCUGGGUAUGGUCAACUCUUGUUGGAAGAAACUGCAGUGGUGGGUAAGACUAAGAUCGACAUGAACACUCUCGUCAAUCAGCAAAUGAUUGCAAUCAUGCCGACUUAUUACUCUCUUGUGAUUCAUAAUAUGGAAGUGCUUGCUUUACCAACACCGGGUUCCAUUAGCAUUGCAAAUGUUGCUAACUGGUUGUAUACAAGUUCAACCCCAUAUGUAGGGGACGAUGCUCAAUAUGACCAGGAUUUUUCAGGUGAUGAAAUGGAAGAAGAUGAGAGGCCAGCAACGCAAUGCAUGCCACCCCCACAGGAUUCCAACCUACAUGGUGAAGGAUCUUCCUUUAUGUCUCAGGACCAUUGGGGUUGGAUCCAAACUGAAAUGGAACCCUCUGCACCGAGCAAACCAGACAAGGUGCGGAAUUGGACAGACAAGGUGUGGAAUUGUUCCGACAAGGGACAUUCAUGGAUGACAUGCAAGCCAUGAUGCAACGUUUGAUGUUGCAUUUCCCGCACGAUCCUCCGCCUCUUCCACAACAGUAAUCACCGUAAGUCCCCUUUGUAUUUUAAUUUAAACAUUGAGGUCAAUGUUUAGUUCAAGUGUGUGUGUGUGGGGGUUCCUUUCAUGUUUUAAUUCGCUUUCAAUUUGUUUUUGUUCUUGAGCUUUUGUUUUUGUUGUCGUCGUAUUAUUUUGUUUGUUUUUUUUGUGUGUGGUUUACUUGUGUGUACAAAGUGAUGAGAAAUGGUUGGACGAAUCCGGGAUCAAUGAUAGUGGAUGAAAGACACCCCUCAUACUUAUUCUGAUAAGGCACCCCGGAAGUUGAUGCAACCAUGAGAAAGUAAAGUCGGACACAAUUUGGUGACACCAGACCAAGAGAGUGGUAUGGUAAAACCGAGUCAGAAAAGAAACCACAUAACACGAGGAGGCUUCAGAGCUUGUAAGGCUAACCAACAUGGUGAGAAUACAAAAAGACAGACACUAAACAUCAGCAUGAGAGUUCAGCCAGGUAUGACUCUACCACUCUGAUUUUGCGUAUGUCCUUUUGACACUUCAUAGCAUGACAACACACACUGAGGCAAGUUGUUUGUUUAGCCAGGGCUUUUCUAGCCAUCCCUAUCUAUAUGUUUUCCCUUCGUGAAUCCUGUUGAGCCUUAGCCAUUUUUUUCAUAAUAAACCCCAUGUUAACCACUAACCAUUCAUUUCUUCCAUCACUCGGCAUGAUUGUUGUGAGUUAUAAAGCUAAGUUUGGGGUGAUAAUCUUGAAAAAUAGGGCAAGUGCAUAAUAAGUGAUCAUACAAAAAGAAGAGAUGUGUGUAUGUCCAAAAAGAAAAGAAAAAAACAAAAGAGAAAAAUGCACUUGCCGAGACUUAAGACUCUAACACUUAUAAAAUGCUCGCAAAGAAGUGAGUAGAAAAAGUGUCAAAAGAGUGAAAUUAACCCCCAGAGUAUAAGUGAUGCACGGAAAAAAAAAAGAGAAAGAAAGAUCACACAACAUGAAUGCCGAGUUCAAAACCCUUUGUUAUCCAUCUUUGUGUUUAUCCCACCGUUCCCAAGCACCGUUACAACCUAAAAGACCUCGUAAAGUGUGUGAAAUCUGCUGUUGUCGUGAAAUUAGAAUGUAUUCAAAUUUAAGAGUUUGGUAUUGCAUACUGUGCUGUGAGUGUACACACCCUAACCAUGAGAGAUGUUGUGAGUGUGUGAAAAAGCUUGCAGGUAACGAGACUUCUGAUGUGGAAAUGUGGCGGAUUGUCUGAGUCGGAGAUAUCGGAAACUUGAUUGGAAAGGAAGAACACAAAUUGUGAAGGACAAGGUUGCAUCGUGGGAAAUGAAUUCGUGGGUGACCUUUGUUUGGACUCAAUACAUCACUUGUGGACAAGUAAUGAGAUAAGUUUGGGGUUGUGAUCGGUGACCAUUUCCAUUGAAUUCCCACCAUUAAUCCGACAUAUUUUCAUAACUUUAGUAAGAUUUGUGUUUGUUUUUAGUUGUUUCAGAGUCAUUUAUCAUGUUUUGUUAGUUUGUUAUCGCAGUUCAUUUUAUUACAUUUUUAUGUCAAAAAGGUCUCUUUUAUGCUUCGUUUUGGUAGUGUUAUUGUUACAGGCCGUUGCACAGGUUUAAAAGAACUAAUAGUGGGAUUGUGGAUACUCAGAAAGGCAAAAAUAUGAAGAUACAGCAGGUCAACACGGGCCCCCGUGUGCAACAACACUUCCCGUGUUGUUGGUCAGGCAAAGCAAGCUUAGAGAGGAAAAACAGAGAGUUAACACGGGCACCCGUGUGUAGGGACACGGCCCGUGUUGAAGCAGCUUGAUCUGAAAGUACUCAUUUUGGAGAGCACACACGGGCACCCGUGUCAAUCCAUACGGCCCGUGUUGAUGGGCGUGACUUAGAAACUUAAAUUUUUGUCACGUGGAUCUAUUCUGCUCAUUAAGGGUAGUUUGGACUUUUUGCUUGGGGAAAAUCCAUCUGAAACUAUUAGAAGGGCUUUGGAGAGAAAGGAAAGGACACUUUUUGACGUACGAAAGAAAACAUUGCACUAAAGAGAUAGCUAUUACGGAGGAUUCGAAGACGGCGAGAUUCAAGGGCAUCACCCAUUGAAGAUCAAAAUCUCCUGAUUCUUUGUAAUGUUUAAUUUCUAUACUAUGAUUUCUUUGAAUACUAUGAGAGGCUAAACCCCCUAUGUUAGGGGGGUGGUCCUGAUUUGAUCGUAUGUUAUGAAUUUAAACAAAUGAUUUCCUUAUUACCUUGUUACAUAUUUCAAUUCAAUUGUGUGAUGUUAUUAUGCUUUUGUAUCGGACAAAUACAAUUUGAUCUACGAUUAUCAAUAACAGGAUUGUGAUUGUUAGGGUUUUCACACAAUUGGGUUUAUGAUUGCUUCAUCUAGGACUAGUAACUUUUGUAAAUCACCGAAAACCUCGAUAUUGUUUAUGAUUAAAAC
rnacentral:lncRNA from 1 species